CACAUCACCUUCAUUCACAGAACCAGCGCGGCAUCACAUCGGCAAAGUGGACCCCCUCCCCCAGGCCUCUCUCCCUCCCCCCUCAUUGGGAAGCCAAGGGGUGGAGAGUGAAGGUGGCUAGAGGCUGAGCUGAGCUUCUGCUGGGGAUCCAGACUCUGCAGUCACCAGGCAAAUUCAAGGUGAAGAAGAGACUUGGUGAGACAGAGUGAUGUAGUCCAGGAGGAGAGCUAGCUCUGACCCAAGGAGCACGGGAGUGUGUGAGCCAAACACUUGACCGUGGACAUCGACGAAGCCCCAAUCCCCUACCUUGAGUGAACAAGCCAAACAAACAGCAUUGUUCUCCUACACAAUGGACACAAAGAACUUGGGAAUUCACAGAAUGGUCCUGAAUUUCAGCUUCCUUCCCCUCCAAGCCCUAGAGAGCUCCAUUGUCUGCAAACUCCACUUAAAAUAGGCACCACCGCUCCAGCUGUGGAGGCUCUUAAGACUCAAGGAAGCAGCCCCCCUUCCCUCCCAGUACCCUGCCGAGCCGGUGGGGAGGAGGGGAGAACGGCCUACAGUCCCGUGGUAAGCUGGGGAUGACUCUGUCCUCAGUGCCACUCGGGGGCGCCCAUUUUACAGCCAAAAAGCCCAAGAGCUUUACACUGGACCUAAGGACAUGAAAGUUCCCAGCGUCCUUCCUCGGCUCCGCUACAGAAGGCUCCAUAAAUUCUUAAGGUAUCUGUUCUUCUGAAAGGUUCCACCAACUACAAAACCAUCCUUGAAGGAAUGCCACCCAGUUACCCUACGGCUCAAGAGACUGGUCCUCCCCUGGCAUGUGGUUUCUGGAGUCUGCAUUGAUGCUCUCCUGAGGUACUCUUUCCCUCCAGAACAACUCACUUCUCCUGGAUGCCAUUAAUCAGUAGCUUUAAGUCCCUCCCCAUGCUAUUUCCUUCACCCCAGCAUUCCUGAGCAGUUGCUCAGCAAGCACUAAGUAUCCUCCAGAAAGCCCAGUGAUGGUGGUGCACACUUUUAAUCCCAGCACUAAGGAGGCAGAAGCAGGCAGAUCUCCCAGUUCAAGGCCAAACCUGGUCUACCGAGGUAGUUCCAGGACAGCCAGGGUCACACAGAGAAUCCCUGUCUAGAAAAACCAUGGGAGUAUCUUUCAGAGAAGAGGCCCUGUGCCUAGAGCUGGGCAUCAGAUAAGAUCCCAGAUCUCCAGAUAAGCAUGUAAAUGAAUGCAUUGUUGCCAAGCAAGAUAAAGGGUCUGACUAUGUGAAUUUGGGGAAAGCAUCUAACAAAGGGUUCUUGACUACUGGAAGGUAACUGAGUAGCCACCAACUGGCUGUACAAGGGCCCAUGGCAAGAGCGCACUGUUUUAUCUGAAGAACUGAAGACACCAGUGGAAUUGGAGGCCAGUGGAGUUUGGAGAUGAGGUGUUUGAGCAACCGUGAGGGGUCUGAUUCUAGAGCAAGAGAAAGACAUAAAAGUAUGCGGAAACAGCUGGUUUAUUUUUAUGAAUAUAUGAAAAAUGGAGGGUUUCAUAUAGCUCAGAUGUCCUGGAGCUCACUAUGGAGACGGGGCCGGCCUUGAACUACUGAUCCUCCUGCCUCUGCGUCCUGAGUGCCGGCUGGCAUCACAAGCGUGCACCACCAUAUCCACCAAGGUUGGGUGAUUUCUGCCUCAGAAAGUCACAGAUCCACGUGGCGCUGAGAUUGGAACUCAGGUGGCAUGCUUGCCUAGCAUGCCCAACGCCCUGAGUCUAAUUCCCAGCACCGCGUAGGCCGGACAGGACGGUGCAGUGCAUACCUGUAACCCAGCACUGGGGCAGCAGAGGAAAGAAGCUCAGCAAGUUCAAGGUCAGUAUCAGCAAGGUCAAGGUCAGCUUGGGCUACCUGAGCCCCGUCUCAAAGAAGAAGAGAAGGGAUGGGGGAAGGAAGGAAGGAAAGGCGGACCUCGGGUCCCUGAAGUCCCUGCUCUCAGUGCCCCUGCACGCACUCUUCUCUCCACCCAGGAUGCUCUGCUCUCAGAACCUCCAUUUGGCCUUUGGCCAAACUACUCUCCCCUCCCCCACCAAAGAGCAGCUCUCCCUACAUACCCUGUCAUGCCACCUAUUUAGACAGUUUGGUCCUUUUCAUAGCAUUUACAUGGCCUAGAAAAUAAAUUAUGUGUUUCUUU